UGGGGAAUUUUGGACAAUGGGCGAAAGCCUGAUCCAGCAAUGCCGCGUGUGUGAAGAAGGCCUUCGGGUUGUAAAGCACUUUUGUCCGGAAAGAAAUCCUUGGCUCUAAUACAGUCGGGGGAUGACGGUACCGGAAGAAUAAGCACCGGCUAACUACGUGCCAGCAGCCGCGGUAAUACGUAGGGUGCAAGCGUUAAUCGGAAUUACUGGGCGUAAAGCGUGCGCAGGCGGUUUGCUAAGACCGAUGUGAAAUCCCCGGGCUCAACCUGGGAACUGCAUUGGUGACUGGCAGGCUAGAGUAUGGCAGAGGGGGGUAGAAUUCCACGUGUAGCAGUGAAAUGCGUAGAGAUGUGGAGGAGUACCGAUGGCGAAGGCAGCCCCCUGGGCAAUACUGACGCUCAUGCACGAAAACGUGGGGAGCAAACAGGAUUAGAUACCCUGGUAGUCCACGCCCUAAACGAUGUCAACUAGUUGUUGGGGAUUCAUUUCCUUAGUAACGUAGCUAACGCGUGAAGUUGACCGCCUGGGGAGUACGGUCGCAAGAUUAAAACUCAAAUGAAUUGAC
rnacentral:rRNA from 1 species